UGAGUCUCCCCGGCUCCCUCCAGAAUGGAGCCAUCCGAGUCACUGAAUUCCAGUAUUCACGGUACCACUGUGUCUUCCUCCCCAGAACUCCUGGAACCUGAGAGUAAUCCCCCAUCCACUUUCUUACUGUUCCAGCAUCUCUCUAUCUGCCAUAGUUUGGAUCUGCGCUGUUCUGCACAGGCCUGUGAGUUACUCUUGGUUCCUGGCACAAAGGUGAUGGAAAUUUUGAAAAGGCAGAGAACCUAGUGGGAAGCUUUAGGUCAUUGUGUGUGGGGAGUGUGCCCUCAUGCAACAAAAAACAAAGGAGAACAUGGCCCAGUGUGCUGACCUUUUACCCCACAGAAGGCAUGUAAAGAAGAAUCUUACCAGAUCAGGACUGGAACCUCCAAAACUGAACCAGAAUAAACUUGUUCCCCUCCGUAA